rnacentral:misc_RNA from 1 species
UUGCGAAAUACAUUAAAUAUUCCCGCCCAGUGUCUUGUAUUGUCAAAUUUAGAACAUAUCCACAACGUCACCACCAUUAUUAGGGAAACGAAUAUACUCGGUAAACAAGUGAAUAAACUUCUUUAAAAUCCACUGGGAAAAAAUAAGUGGUCUCGGGCAACACCGUUUUCAUUUUGUGUGUGCAUGUGUCACGCGUGCGCAUUUUGUGUCGCACGCAUGCACUGUAUACUUGUACGAUCGAGUAUCACGUCACAAACUUUCAUGCCAGAUAGCAGUGGAGUCGGAUUUACAUCGUGCUCUCAAAACCGCCCCAAAAUGGCAGCAUUUACUCGGAAUUUACCCGGUGUAACCGCUACUUUCAAGCUCCUUAGACAAGUAUUGUAUCUUCUCUUGCUUCUCCAAAUGAUGAACUUUUCAAAUGUGGUUGGACAAUCAACGUCUGCAGCAACCUCUGGUAUGACUACAGUAGUACCAGCAACAGGGUUCGUUCCAAGUGAAAUACCGUUAAUAGCAUUGGAUACUGCUCAAGCCACGACAAACAGUGAUGGGACAACCUAUGUAGAACCCACAAAUGAAGUUGUGGCAGGCGACACAGGCGACACAGUGGCAGUUGACACAACAGCACAACAGGCUACAGAGCCAUUUGGCACUGCAAAAUCUACCUUAAUAGUAACAACUGUGACACAAAUCGUCACCUCAACUGACAUCAGACAGGAGACCACAGGUAGUUCAGAGGAAUCACCUGCCGCUCAAACAACACAACAGCCAAUGCAAAGUACAGCAGCAGUCACUGCAGCAGGAACACCAUCACCCAUGACCCACACUGCAGUAGCUCCUGCGAGUACUGCUGUAAUGGAAGUGGCUGCGACUACAACUCAAAAACCUACAGCAGAAACAACAAUGGUACCUGAAGCAGUUGCAACUCUGACACCUGAAGCAGCAACUCCAGCACCUGAAUCAGAUACAACUCAAGCACCAGCAACAGCAGCAACUCAAGCACCAGCAACAGCAACAACACACGUACCAGGAACAGCAACAACUGCACCUGCAGCUGAUACAACUCAAGUACCAGCUACAACAGCAACUCAAGCAGCAGCAGCAGCAACUCAAGCACCAGCAACAGCAACAACUCCAGCACCUGCAGCUGAUACAACUCAAGUACCAGCUACAACAGCAACUCAAGCACCAGCCACAGCCACAGCCACAAGCCCAGCAACAACAACAGCAACAACUCAAGCACCAGCAACAGCAACAGCUCAAGCACCAGCAACAGCAACAACACACGUACCAGGAACAGCAACAACUGCACCUGCAGCUGAUACAACUCAAGUACCAGCUACAACAGCAACUCAAGCAGCAGCAGCAACUCAAGCAACAGCAACAACUCAAGCAACAUCAACAACUCCAGCACCUGCAGCUGAUACAACUCAAGUACCAGCUACAACAGCAACUCAAGCACAAGCAACAGCCACAGCCACAACCCCAGCAACAACAGCAGCAACAACUCAAGCACCAGCAACAGCAACAGCAACAACUGAAGCACCUGCAGCUGAUACAACUGAAGUACCAGCUGCAACAGCAACUCAAGCACCAGCAACAGCAACAACCCCAGCAACAGCAACAACUCAAGCAACUGCAGCAGUUACUACUCAAGCACCAGCAACAGCAACCACUCAAGCACCAGUAACAGCAACAACUCAAGCACCUGCAGCAGCAACCACUCAAGCACCAGUAACAGCAACAACUCAAGCACCUGCAGCAGCAACAACUCAAGCACCAGCAACAGCAACAACUCAAGCACCUGCAGCUGAUACAACUGAAGUACCAGCUACAACAGCAACUCAAGCACCAGCAACAGCCACAACCCCAGCAACAGCAACAACUCAAGCACCUGCAGCAGUUACAACUCAGGCAACAGCAACAGCAACAACUCAAGCUGCAAUUACAACUCCAGCACCUGCAGUAGUUACAACUGAAGCUCCUGCAGCGGUAACAACUCAAGCACUUGCGACCGAAACAUCCAUCAUCGGAAGUACUGUGGCAGAUACUGUCCUAGGACCUGAUUCAGAAGCUCGACAGAGUACACCAUUGCCAGUCACAUCUGCAACAGGUGCUUUUACAGUAGUUACCCAAGAUCUACCUGUUACAACUCAAGAGCCUGCAACAGGAACAGUUGUUUCAGCAGAAACUGUAACAACUCGAGCACCUGACUCAGCUAAAACUCAAGCUACAACUCAAGCACCUGCAGCCAUAACAACUCUAGCACCUGAUGCUGUUACAACUCAGGCAACAGCAAUAGCAACAACUCAAGCACCAGCAACAACUCAAGCACCAGCAACAGCAACAACUCAAGCACCAGCAACAGCAUCAACUCAAGCACCUGCAGCUGAUACAACUGAAGUACCAGCUACAACAGCAACUCAAGCACCAGCAACAGCCACAACCCCAGCAACAGCAACAACUCAAGCACCUGCAGCAGUUACUACUCAAGCACCAGCAACAGCAACCACUCAAGCACCAGUAACAGCAACAACUCAAGCACCUGCAGCAGCAACAACUCAAGCACCAGCAACAGCAACAACUCAAGCACCAGCAACAGCAACAACUCAAGCACCAGCAACAGCAACAACUCAAGCACCUGCAGCUGAUACAACUGAAGUACCAGCUACAACAGCAACUCAAGCACCAGCAACAGCAACAACCCCAGCAACAGCAACAACUCAAGCACCUGCAGCAGUUACUACUCAAGCACCAGCAACAGAAACCACUCAAGCACCAGUAACAGCAACAACUCAAGCACCUGCUGCAGCAAUAACUCAAGCACCAGCAACAGCAACGACUCAAGCACCUGCAGCUGAUACAACUGAAGUACCAGCUACAACAGCAACUCAAGCACCAGCAACAGCCACAACCCCAGCAACAGCAACAACUCAAGCACCUGCAGCAGUUACUACUCAAGCACCAGCAACAGCAACCACUCAAGCACCAGUAACAGCAAUAACUCAAGCACCUGCAGUAGCAACAACUCAAACACCUGCGGCAGCAACAAGUCGAACACCUGAAGCAGUUACAACUCCAGCACUUGCAGCAGCAACAACUCAAGCACCUGCAAUAGCAUCAACUCAAGCACCUGAAGCAGCAUCAACUCAAGCACCUGAAGCAGUUACAACUCCAGCACUUGCAACAACUACUCAAGCACCUGCAGCAGUUACAACCGAAAAACCAACCUUGAAGCCAUCAAAACCUGAGUUUAAGCCAUUGUCAUCAUUAACUGAGAAGGAGAAAAGUGAAGCAGUUACUCUGGAGUUAAAUAAGGAUAUUACGAGAGAGUAUUGGAUGUCCUAUUUGGAUGUCAAAUUCCGCCAGCUCCUUGCUCAAAUGCUCAAUACUAGUAACAGACGUCGGAGGCGUCAGAGUGACGGAGGGACCUCGGCAAUCAAGCCAGAAGACAUCAUCUACAUCAGCCCUUCCCCGAUCCUCAAGGAUGGGGUGCUCCAUGUCUCGUUCUUUGUGAGAAGCAGGGAGGGAGGCUCCGGAGAAAGUGUAUUGAGUAGUGAGAAGGUGUUGGCAAAAUUAAAUGAGGAGGACAACGUCGAUAAGAUGAAGACAUUGUUGGGCGUUGAUGAUUUUAAGCCCUAUGCGGGUAUUUCCCAAGUUCUCCUGGAAUCAGACAAGCAAACCGGUCUUAACAUCCUCGGCAGUCGGGCUCUCUUCAUCGUGCUGAUCGUCCUGGGCUGCAUCAGCUUGGUCAUCAUCAUCGCGGGCUUCCUUUACCUCGUCUGCGAUCGCAAACGCACCCGCAGCGGGGAGUACAUCACCAAUAACACCAACCCGGAUCUGGAGGUUGGAUUCGACAACCCUGCCAUGGUGAACGAGACCGACAAGGCGGCCUUGAACGGCAAUGGGGCUCACCUGCUCAGCUUUAAGCCAGACGCAGGAGACGGGGAUAUUGUGCCUUACGAUAGCUUCAGUCCGGAGGACUUUAUGAAUUGCGAGGUGGAGGACACGCAUCUUUAAGAUUGAACCCGUGGGGAAAGACAGUAGCAGGUUUGUCUAAACUGUACAGUCCACAUUGUAGAUAUUUCAUAUAUAAGUCUCUGUUCCUCAAGGCUUUGUGUUGUGCACUUGCACCGUCUGCUAAUUUGGCGUGGCAAAAAAUUUGCCAAAAGUUUUUCUCCUAGCCACUGACCACACUUUUUGCCUUGCUUCAAAAGUGUUGUCUCAAAAGUGUUGUCUCAAGGACAGUUUAAACAUACAGUACUGUCCCAAUAAUGGAUGUUUCUUUCAUAAACCUUUGUCAGAAUCAAGGAACUGUAAGGUGGCAGGCUUGAUCUGCACUUGUUUGUUGUUUUAUUGUUGUUACAGCGACUUUUUAGUACUAUAAUUCAAAAUCCCAAUUGAAGUGGGCUUAAUUGAAGGUUUAUAGCAGGGUCAAAUACUGGCCGAUGGGCCGAGGGCUUCUUGCACAAGUACCCCCUCAAUGGUUACAAAGGUAGAGUUGGGGGAGACCACUGGGAGAGACAUUUGAACGCAUUGCCGACAGGGCCUGACAUUCAUGCAAAGACGCUAUGGCUUUGUGUACUUCAGAAUAGAUUUAGUCAUGUGUACUUCUAGUGGUGUGUAUGCAUUUAUGGGUUGUACAGGAAACCCUAUUGUAAAAUACGGGUACCCAGGUAUGCGUAAAAGAAACUCAACCCCAAAUUUCAAAUCCCGGAAGUUGUCUGAAGGUUUUUUUUUAGCUGAACAGUGUAAACUGCAAUUUUUGCGAGCAUUAUCUGUCCCGCUUUAAAACGUGAAAUCUGUUUUGGUCUACGAUGUACAAUGUAGCCCUACGUUUUCUUCUUUGAAAAUUUUCUACAGAUGUCAUUCAAAAGCUUUCUUUUCAUUGUAAGAGAAGUUGCUAAGUAAUUCGUAAAGAUGGUUAUGAGUACCUGAUCCGGUAAUCUGGAACUGGUUCCUGACAUCAGUGGUCGGAUACCCGGGUUCCCGGUUCCGAUGCACACCCUAGGCAUUCAGUUCUUGCAAGAACUCACAAAGCACAAACCACAGUGCACGCAUGAUUCCUGGAUUCCGUAGGAAUAACUAAAAGUGUCUUGUUUGUAUCAGUGGACUAAGAAGAGUUGUGAUGCCUGCCAAAUUUUAUUUAACUUUACUCCUUAGAAAGUUAGGCGAAACAACCAAGCUGAAAGCCAUUCUUUGAAAGUUUGCAUUUUUAGAUCUAUACUUUUGUGGCUUGUUGAUUGUCACAUGUCCUUAAACACACUGUCAUGUUCUCCGAAAAAAUUACAAAGAAAUUGUCAUGUUGAAUAGUUGAAACUUCAAUUUGUCUUGAUUAUAAACUAGGAAAUCCAGCACUUCAAGAAGACAGAAAUGUAAUUUUGUGCUAUUGUUUGAAUGUUUUGUUAGUGUUUUGGAAAUCUUGCCAUUUCUUUUUACUGAAAGUUUGCUGUGUUUCAAAAGAAAUGUUGCAAUUUUUUGAAUUUGCAAUUAAUUAUGCAGUGUGUGCGUGUGUAUCGAUCAAGUUAAAGAGAGAUCAAGCAUUUUUUUCUGUAAGUAAUUAAGCUAAUCUUAACCAAAAAAAAGUCACUUGGUUGUCAUGUAUCAAGUAUAUUACUGUAGUGAAUGAGUACAAUAAUAUAUGUAUUUUGAUUUUUAAGUGUUCAGUACCAUGUUACAAAAUCUUAUGCACCAUUCCAAAGUUAAGAUGCACAAUAUGUUUUUUUAAUAUACGCAGUACUGUAAGAUUUCUGAGUUCAAUCACCAAAAAAAAAAGUUGUUAAAAACUCUGUAUUUAGUGGCUGCCUGUUUUACUAGAGCGUAGAGCCAAUAUUUUUUUCUGCAUGUAUUUCAUUGUGUUGGUUAUUCCUUUCCGAUAAUUCUAAGGAGUUUAAAAUCAAUAUUCCGUCCAUCUUCAUUGGCCAUAAAAAAAACUUGAAAAUUUUGUGAUUUAUAAAUUAAUCAAACAUGAAGCCAGGCAUGCAACUUUUCCUCGGAUCUGCUGAUUUCCUCGUUUUUUACUUCUCAUGAAUGCCAUUACAAAUUGAAAAACACUGUACAAGUCUUGUGUGGUUUGGAAUUUCCUCCGUUUCUUUUUCUUCUAAAUUUCCAGUUGCAUGCCUGUGUAGCUGGAACAUUCCGAAAAUCAUUGGUCAAAUUAGGUUUGUUUGAAAUAUAAACAUUAUAACUUUAUAUGACAGAAAGUUAUCUAGCCUUUGUUUAUCAUGUAGUCGUUUGCCUUUUUUUGCCAUUAUCUUUGUAAACAAGUUAUUCAAAAAGGACCAAGUACAGGGUCUCUUCUAUUGUAAUUUAUUGAUGAAUGUAUCAGAUAGUUUACAUUUUUUUUUAAAGGCAAUUUCUUAGUUUGGAGAAUUAUCCCCCUUUUAAAAAAAUUCUUAAGUAAACUUAACAAUUAUUGGUUUAUUGUAUCCUUGUCUUGCCAAGCCAUGCAGCUUGAAAUUGAUAUUUUCUUUUUUACGAUGACCUCAAACAUUCAAUUGCUGUCUCGCCAUUUGUCACUGUCGGAUUUGAUUCUAGACCAAAUAGUUGUUUUCAAAAGGAGAGGUGCUUUAACCUUCAUGUUGUAGUUCAAUUUUGAGAAAAGGAUUUUCAGGGGAAAAAAAUGUGAUCCCCUUGCCCCCAACUGAAGUUAAAUAGUUGUCGGUGUUGUGUUGCACUUGAUAUCAUCCAGCCCUGACUCAUCCUCGCCAGUUGUAAUCAGAGAAAGUCUUUCCACAGACGUCGCAAUAUAUUCUCGAAUGGCAUUUUAUCUUUCUGGGGAUAUAACUCUCAUUUAAAGCCUUUCUCCCUCAAGCUUUGCAAACUCUAUUUAAGUGCAGUCUUUCAUUGGAUCUAUUUUUGGUCCAGAUAAAAAGAACAUAUUUCAUAGUGACAACUGUCACGAUAGCAAAAAAUGAGCAGCCAACAAAAAUCGUUUAAUGGAGUCAGAUGAUAUCAGCGCAUGUCAAAGAAAACUUGUUGAGUGUUCAGUUUCAAAAGUAAUCACUUAAUGCACAGACGUAAUGUAACAUCUUUUAAUUGACUGUUAUCCAGACCUACGCGUACAGUAUAACUAUAACGUGGGGAAAAAUAUUUUUUUCAGCGAACUUAUUUUCCUGCCUCCAUGUUUAACCCUACUGAUAUACGGAAAUCUAAACAAUUUUGUCUCUCAAUUUUGUGUGUCUUUUUGUUAAUGAAGGGAUUACUGCUAACGUUAGUUACUUUGUUCUGUGAGUGUUUUAUUAAUGUUUCUACUUUAACUUUCCUAUAGUGCUUAAACGAGAACUUAAGUGCACAUAUGUUCAUGUCUAUGGCUAGAAAAUUGUAUGAUUUUUGAAAAAAGGGCCAAGAAAAAUGGCUGUUAAACAUUCAUAUGAAGAUACCUGUUAUUUACUUAUUCAUUUAUUUUUCGAUUUAUUUAUUUUUUACUCGAGUCAGGUUAUAAUUUCUUAUGUGAUCCACCAUUGAAUAUCACCUCAAGUUGACUGCAACAGCCCAAAAGGAAGACUAUCUGUAGGGCGUAAUGGACAUUCCAGGGUGCUUGUGUAAACCUUUCUCAAGGCAUAAAUUUCCCUGAUUUAAUGACCUGAGGUCAGUCAAAGGUCACUAUGCCAAUCCCAAACUUGGAAAUCUUAAGGUGUUUUUCUACUCCUCCAUGGUCUGUUUUUGGCAUAGUUUCCCAGGUCAAGGACUGAAGUCGAUGUUUUAUCUAAAUAUAUAUGACCUGAUGGAUCCUAGGCUACAUCUUCCCCGAAGUUGAAAUGGAAUAGUCCACCUUUUAUUGUCCUAUUGGGAUCAAGAAUUGGCCUUCCAUGAAUGAUUUUUAAGGGCAAAACCUUAGAAACAGUUUUAAAAAUGUUAUUAUAUGAAGUUUUUUUCAUAUUGACCAAGGAUAUUGACCAAGGAAAUUUGACCAAAAUGGGGUUUGCAGGUCAAAAAAUAUAGUUCAUUUCCCCAAAACUGAUCCCUUGUCUUUUCCCAUUGUGGUACAGUUGAUGAAAAAAGAUUCAAAGAAUAUUUAAAUUGUAAAUGUAUAAAUAAUGUAUGCUUUGUUUAGUAGUUUUUGGUUUACUUUUUAGUGAGUCUGUUUCCUUUUUGGCCUAUUAUGCAUUGUCUUAAUUAUUAUUCAUAAUCAAAAAGAGUGUAUUACAACUAUCACGACAUGGUCUUUUAGUUUUGUUUAUCAAAGUAAUUAAUUGGUUACAGUUACUUAUCUCAUACUCAGUUGCCAGAGAUUUUGUUUUCAACUAAAACUUCUCUCAAAUGACUGUCGGUUGUUCCAAGUUAAUUUGAACCAGUACUGUCUUUAUUCCAAAGAAGGUUUCGUUUAGAACAGUCUUGGUACCGGUAGCUCCAUUUUCAGGUGGAAAUAUGACCUGUAGAGCUUCAAACGAAAUGCCCACUUCACCUGAAAUUUACUCUGAGGGGAGACAGUUGGUCAGUGAGUGACUCAGUAAGUCAGUGACUCAGUCAGUGACGCGUAGUCUUUGACGCAGUCAGUGACUAGAGACUCGUCAGUCAAUGAGUCAGUCACUCAGUCAGUCACUCGUCAGUGACUCAGUCAGUCAGUGACUCAUCAGUGACUCCUCACUCAUAAAUCACUUGUCAGUUACUCAGUCAGUGACUCAGUCAGUGACUCAUCAGUGACUCCUCACUCAUCAAUCACUUGUCAGUUACUCAGUCAGUGACUCAGUCAGUGACUCAUCAGUGACUCCUCACUCAUCAAUCACUUGUCAGUUACUCAGUCAGUGACUCAGUCAGUGACUCAUCAGUGACUCCUCACUCAUAAAUCACUUGUCAGUUACUCAGUCAGUGACUCAGUCAGUGACUCAUCAGUGACUCCUCACUCAUAAAUCACUUGUCAGUUACUCAGUCAGUGACUCAUCAGUGACUCCUCACUCAUCAAUCACUUGUCAGUUACUCAGUCAGUGACUCAGUCAGUGACUCAUCAGUGACUCCUCACUCAUCAAUCACUUGUCAGUGACUCAGUCAGUGACUCAGUCAGUGACUCCUCACUCAUCAAUCACUUGUCAGUUACUCAGUCAGUGACUCAGUCAGUGACUCAUCAGUGACUCCUCACUCAUCAAUCACUUGUCAGUGACUCAGUCAGUGACUCAGUCAGUGACUCAGUCAGUGACUCCUCACUCAUCAAUCACUUGUCUGACUCAGUCAGUGACUCAGUCAGUCACUCGGUCAGUCACUCGGUCAGUCACUCGUCAGUGACUCCCCCAGUGACUCAGUGACUUAGUGACUCUGGGACUCAGUCAGUCAGAGGGCAAAGGCUAGCCCAUCAGGUCCAGCCAAAAAAAAAUAAAAAAUUAGUGCCAGCUUAAAUGUUGAAAGAAGACUGAAAAUUACAUUUUACUAAGUAACAGGUGUAGAUCUUCAUACUGGGACAGCAGGGCUGUGUACUCCCUGUGGGGAUGUAAGGAGCCAUGUCAAGACCAUGCUUUGAUGAUAGAGGUGGUGACCUUAAUGCUGAUUAUACACACCUAUAGGGGACUGGGUCAAAGGUCACAAACCCCUGGGCCAUAUAACCCAGCAGUGUUAUCCACUGUAUGGAUUCUGUAGUUAUCUCUGGAGAUCAUCUUUGGGGAAGUCUCAUUUUUCUGUCUUUGCCCGAGGGUCAGUUGCUUAUUAUUUUUGGAGAGAUCAAAUCAACUGCACCUGUUAGUUUGGGUAAAAGUUUAAUUUUUAUAAUUGGAUGUUUUGGGUGAUCGUGGUCUUGAAAUGGUAAAUUUAAGUGGAUUUUUGUGUGUGAUACUUGCCUUAAACCUGGAAGUAAAGAUCAUAGUUGAAAUGUAUAGAGAGACUACAGCAUGCAAAUGUCUGUGAACCAUUAUACAUACUGAAAAAUGUUUUGGAAAACUUGGAUUUUUGGGGGGAAAAUUUGCUUUGAGUUGGGGAGGAUUUAGUCAAUAUUACAUUGGUAUGUAAUUGUAUAUAAGUUUUUGUACAGGAUAGAAUUUCAUCUUUUCGGUGGCUUUCUUGUCUUUUAUUUUUUGGGGAAGGGGCGAUAUUUUUAAUUGUUUUAGGAAGGCCUCAUAGCAUAAAACUUAAAAAGGAAGUAGAUGCCAGAAUGUGCCAGAACGGAGGCUGAUUUUUGUCCCCCUGCAAUCUUGUAGUUUUAUUAAAGACAUAAUCCUGAAUUUUGUGUUUAAUGUUGACUCUUUUGUAGUUGCCAAAUUCUUGCUUGGACAAAAGUUAGUAAGAGUUGGCGGGAUGAAAUUCCCCAAGUUGGCCUUGUUUGGCGGAAAAAGUGAUUUCCGUCUACUGGAGUAAAAAAUCACCAGUUUUUUGAAAAUGGGGAUGAACAUGCAUAUAUUGUAUUUCUCUUUUUUUUUGCAUGAAAAAUCAGAAAAAUUUGAUAAUGCAAAAAUCAUUGGAAAUGCUAAAAACCAAUUGUUGACAUCUAUAAAAAGUGAAAAUCUAGUUAAAGUUUUCAGGCAAGCACAAUGUUUUAAAUGUAUUGUUGAUAAAGGUUUUUAUUUUAUUUAAAAUGUGUUCAGACUUUAAUUGCAUAGUAAGUUUCACCGCCGCAUGUGUUUUUGUUAAAUUGGCACACAUUGUGUUUAAAAAAAAUUGUUCUGCUUUGUAUUUUAUAUUGUCAGUUUUACGCUUUCUAAUUCUGUUAUGUAGAAAUUUCAGUGCAACACAAAGUUCAAGUUAAGUACAUGUACUACUUUUAGAACAAAAAUUGUGUAUUCAUUGAACUACUUUGUCAAAGUGUGGCUACCCAUAAACAUAAGUGAACAGAUAUUGGAUAACAUACAGCCUGUAGGUCAAAUAUACAAUUUAACUUUUAAGAAUGCCUGUACGUUGUUUAAUUGUGUUACGUUCUAAUCCCUUAAAUAGGAUCAAGACAAAGAAUGUUAACAAUAAAAGUUGUGAAAAUAAUUAAUGAGAAAAUGUGUUUGAGCCCCAGGCUUGCAUACAGCUUCUUGAAUUAAUAUGACUCCUUAAUCACAAAAAUAUAUAAAACAGUAUUAUAUUAAUAACAAAAAAAAAUCAGUUUAAUAAGGGAAUAGCUUAGAAGAUAUUGUUCUGCCACAAUUUCUCCUCUCUGUUUGGUAUGUGUUGCAACCGAUAUUAACACUUUCAGUGGUAAAAUA